CUCAGAUCAUAAUCUCGCAUAAGUGUUCCUAAGCAGAUACAUUGUAUCAAGAGCUACUAUUGGAUAGGAGGGAGCUUCAGGACGUGGCUCCACUCAUGGAUCACAUCUCUUUAUACCUCCUCUGAAGCGUGAGUAUGUGUGAACAGCUCUCUCUCGGAGGUUGUGCAGAUACAUAAUGGCACUAAGCAGGGUUGUCCACUGUCCCACUUAUUUUUUGCUCUGAUACUGGAACCAGUCCUGGAGGCAAUAAGGAAAGAUCCAAAUGUGAUGAAGUUUAGAGUGGAUGACUCGGAACAUAGAGUGGCUGCAUAUGCAGACGAUAUGCUGUUCUUUAUUACAAACCUGAGAAUUACUCUUCCGGACCUCAUGCCGCAUUUAGGGAGUAUGGCACUCUCUCAUACCUAAAACUAAAGUGCUUUACUUAACAGUCCCUAAACAUGUCCUGCAGGCACUAUGCCACAGUUAACCUUCCACUGGUGCAAAGGCCAGAUGUAAUACUUUGAGUGUGUUUGAUCAGACCAAUUAUACUAAAAGAAC